CUCAGGGAUUGUGAGCGUGAGGGUAAACAGAACGCCUUUUACGUUCAUUUUCUAAAAUGCUGUCACAUCUGCUGAGCUUUGCUAUUCAGAAAUGAAAACAGAAGUUGAUGGAAAAGAAAGAUCUUUUCCCUCGGGUGGGCAAGUUCAAAACUGAGGGCAUAUUUUUAAGUGACAUCAGAAUGUGAAUGGCUCAACUGGAGACAGGAAAUAACUCUUGAUUGGCUAGGAGAUUGACCUGAUGCUACAAGACCCUCAAGAAGCUAAGCUGUCACCAUAAGUGAUGACGCAUUCUGCAGUACUUUCAACAGAACAGGAACAUAACUGGUGAUGAUGUUGGAGAAAUAAUGCAAUAAUGAGGGCCAAGUUGGAAAGGCUUCCCAAUGGAGUGCCAUGGCCAGUGGCAUGUUGCAGGAUGGCUUGGCUGUCUACUCCAAGCAGAUUCGGAGUGACAUCAGGAAAGAGAAAGCUUCUAUCACACAGACAAUUAAGAUCUUUGAAGGCUGCAUUCUUCUCAUUAGUGACAAAUGACAUUUCUACAUUUCUACAAAAUCCAACCCAACAGCCUUUAAAAAGCUGCGAAGGUUUACUAGAAAUGACACCUUUGGACUUCCAAGGUAAGUUGAGAUUUUACAAACUAGGUUUGCAUUGGAAUU